GGCCGGUUAGCUCAGCCAGGUCAGAGCGCCAGUCUUACAAACUGGAUGCCGAGGGUUCGAAUCUCUCACCGGCCA
rnacentral:tRNA from 1 species